rnacentral:rRNA from 1 species
AGCCUGAUGCAGCGACGCCGCGUGAGGGAUGACGGCCUUCGGGUUGUAAACCUCUUUCACCAGGGACGAAGCGUGAGUGACGGUACCUGGAGAAGAAGCACCGGCCAACUACGUGCCAGCAGCCGCGGUAAUACGUAGGGUGCGAGCGUUGUCCGGAAUUACUGGGCGUAAAGAGCUCGUAGGCGGUUUGUCGCGUCGUCUGUGAAAUUCUGCAACUCAAUUGCAGGCGUGCAGGCGAUACGGGCAGACUUGAGUACUACAGGGGAGACUGGAAUUCCUGGUGUAGCGGUGAAAUGCGCAGAUAUCAGGAGGAACACCGGUGGCGAAGGCGGGUCUCUGGGUAGUAACUGACGCUGAGGAGCGAAAGCGUGGGUAGCGAACAGGAUUAGAUACCCUGGUAGUCCACGCCGUAAACGGUGGGUACUAGGUGUGGGUUCCUUUUCACGGGAUCCGUGCCGUAGCUAACGCAUUAAGUACCCCGCCUGGGGAGU